rnacentral:rRNA from 1 species
GACGAACGCUGGCGGCGUGCCUAAUACAUGCAAGUCGUACGCUUCUUUUUCCACCGGAGCUUGCUCCACCGGAAAAAGAAGAGUGGCGAACGGGUGAGUAACACGUGGGUAACCUGCCCAUCAGAAGGGGAUAACACUUGGAAACAGGUGCUAAUACCGUAUAACAAUCGAAACCGCAUGGUUUUGAUUUGAAAGGCGCUUUCGGGUGUCGCUGAUGGAUGGACCCGCGGUGCAUUAGCUAGUUGGUGAGGUAACGGCUCACCAAGGCCACGAUGCAUAGCCGACCUGAGAGGGUGAUCGGCCACAUUGGGACUGAGACACGGCCCAAACUCCUACGGGAGGCAGCAGUAGGGAAUCUUCGGCAAUGGACGAAAGUCUGACCGAGCAACGCCGCGUGAGUGAAGAAGGUUUUCGGAUCGUAAAACUCUGUUGUUAGAGAAGAACAAGGAUGAGAGUAACUGUUCAUCCCUUGACGGUAUCUAACCAGAAAGCCACGGCUAACUACGUGCCAGCAGCCGCGGUAAUACGUAGGUGGCAAGCGUUGUCCGGAUUUAUUGGGCGUAAAGCGAGCGCAGGCGGUUUCUUAAGUCUGAUGUGAAAGCCCCCGGCUCAACCGGGGAGGGUCAUUGGAAACUGGGAGACUUGAGUGCAGAAGAGGAGAGUGGAAUUCCAUGUGUAGCGGUGAAAUGCGUAGAUAUAUGGAGGAACACCAGUGGCGAAGGCGGCUCUCUGGUCUGUAACUGACGCUGAGGCUCGAAAGCGUGGGGAGCAAACAGGAUUAGAUACCCUGGUAGUCCACGCCGUAAACGAUGAGUGCUAAGUGUUGGAGGGUUUCCGCCCUUCAGUGCUGCAGCUAACGCAUUAAGCACUCCGCCUGGGGAGUACGACCGCAAGGUUGAAACUCAAAGGAAUUGACGGGGGCCCGCACAAGCGGUGGAGCAUGUGGUUUAAUUCGAAGCAACGCGAAGAACCUUACCAGGUCUUGACAUCCUUUGACC